GAUGAGAACGUAGUGAAAUGCGAUAAGUAAUGUGAAUUGCAGAAUUCAGUGAAUCAUCGAAUCUUUGAACGCACAUUGCGCCCGCCAGUAUUCUGGCGGGCAUGCCUGUUCGAGCGUCAUUACAACCCUCAGGCCCCCGGGCCUGGCGUUGGGGAUCGGCGGAGCCCCCCGUGGGCACACGCCGUCCCCCAAAUACAGUGGCGGUCCCGCCGCAGCUUCCAUCGCGUAGUAGCUAACACCUCGCGACUGGAGAGCGGCGCGGCCACGCCGUAAAACACCCAACUCUUCUGAAGUUGACCUCGAAUCAGGUAGGAAUACCCGCUGAACUUAAGCAUAUCAAUAAGCGGAGGA
rnacentral:misc_RNA from 1 species